UUCCUCUCAGGGUCGCAUCUGGAGAGUUGCCAGUCCUCCACCAGUCUUGGCUACUGGAGGGAGAGUGAAGCAGAGGCCUACCCAUUCCAUUCCUAGCUUGGCCAGUGGCUAGCGAGUGGCAGGCCAUCUGCUACAAAU
rnacentral:snoRNA from 1 species